rnacentral:lncRNA from 1 species
GCGAUUUUAAGAUGAAGGACAUUCAAAAUUACAAAAGUUUUAAAACACAAAUGCUGAAGCGAUUCGCUAAGUUGCCAUAUACGAUCCGGCUGAACACUUUCAUGCAUGCAUGCAACAGAGAAGCGAAGACGUUCAGAUUUUCGCGGUUAGAUUACAGUCUAUUGCGACCGAGACUCAGAUAGAAAUGGCAAGGGCCAGCGAACAAGAACGAGUGGUGAUAGAGCAAUGUCAGAAAAAAGAAAUGGACGAGCGGUUGCGAAUACAAUUUCUUAACGGGAUUAAUGAUAGGAUCAAACGAACAGUUAUGUCUCAUGAUCCAAAAACAUUCGAAGAAGCGCU